rnacentral:rRNA from 1 species
GUCGUAACAAGGUUUCCGUAGGUGAACCUGCGGAAGGAUCAUUACUGAAUUCAUGAGGAUUGAGCUGGCUUUUGUAAGUGCUCGUCUUCAAAUUCAUCUUUAACCAUUGUGAACUGUAGUAGACUAUGAUAUCUCUCAAUGGCUUGCCAUUGGAUUGAAGGGUUGCGUCUAGCUCCACUUCAACUUCAUAGUCUCCCCCCUUAUCCCUUUAAACAAAGUCGUAGAAUGUCUUGUUUUAGGUGUAAUAACCUAUAAACUCAAUACAACUUUCAGCAACGGAUCUCUUGGCUCUCGCAUCGAUGAAGAACGCAGCGAAAUGCGAUAAGUAAUGUGAAUUGCAGAUUUCAGUGAAUCAUCGAAUCUUUGAACGCACCUUGCACUCCUUGGUAUUCCGAGGAGUAUGCCUGUUUGAGUGUCAUUAAAUUCUCAAACCUCACAAGUUGUUUGACUUGUCCGAGGCUUUGGAUGUGGGUGUUGCUGGCUUUCACGAGUCAGCUCUCCUAAAAUGCAUUAGUGGUUACUGUUCACUACAUCCUGGUGUGAUAAUAUCUACGCCUAGUAGUGAUGUUAAGUGUAGCUGCUUCAAACCGUCCAUGAACUUGGACAACUUGAACCAUUUGACCUCAAAUCAGGUAGGACUACCCGCUGAACUUAAGCAUAUCAAUAAGCGGAGGAAAAGAAACUAACAAGGAUUCCCCUAGUAACUGCGAGUGAAGCGGGAAAAGCUCAAAUUUAAAAUCUGGUGGUCUUAUGGCUAUCCGAGUUGUAAUUUAGAGAAGUGUUAUCCGCGUUGGACCGUGUACAAGUUUCCUGGAAUGGAGCUAUCAUAGAGGGUGAGAAUCCCGUACAUGGCACGGACUACCAAGGCUUUGUGAUACGCUCUCGAAGAGUCGAGUUGUUUGGGAAUGCAGCUCAAAAUGGGUGGUAAAUUCCAUCUAAAGCUAAAUAUUGGCGAGAGACCGAUAGCGAACAAGUACCGUGAGGGAAAGAUGAAAAGAACUUUGGAAAGAGAGUUAAACAGUACGUGAAAUUGCUGAAAGGGAAACGCUUGAAGUCAGUCGCGUUGUCUGGGGAUCAACCUUGCUCUUUUGCUUGGUGUACUUCCUAGUUAACGGGUCAACAUCAGUUUUGACUGUUGGAUAAAGGUUGAGGGAAUGUGGCAUCUUCGGAUGUGUUAUAGCCCUUGAUUGUAUACAAUGGUUGGGACUGAGGAACUCAGCACGCCGCAAGGCCGGGUUUUUAACCACGUUCGUGCUUAGGAUGUUGGCAUAAUGGCUUUAAUCGACC